AGAAGGGAAAAUAAAAAUGUAGCGGGGGGCAGCAGGGGUAGCUCCUCCCGCUUGGCGACCGGCAAACGGGGUGCGGAACACGUACGCACACCUUCCUUUUAACUUGGAGAAUAGCCCCCUCGAAAGAGGGAUUAAUACUCUCCGCUAACAUAUUGAUAAGGCCACUCUUUAUUAAUAUUAUAGCCCCGGCCGGUUUAAAGAAUGAGCGGGGCGCCUGAUUAAAUAGUUGGGGGGGUAACGGCCCCCCAAGUUUGCGAUAAGAAACCGGGGGGAGAGCACACCAGUUCUCGGGCACUUGAGACACGGGCCCCACCCCUUCGGGAGGCAGAAAAAGGAAUGUGGGGCAUGGACCCAAUUUUAACCCCCCCUGCCGGGGGAGAAAAAGGCCCCCCUGGGUUAAAACUCUUUUUUUGGGAAAAACCCCCCGUUUUUUUAGGGGGGGGGACGGCCAAAAAAAAACCCGUUUAACUCUGGCAGCAACCGGGAAAAAAAGGGGGGGAGGG
rnacentral:rRNA from 1 species